rnacentral:lncRNA from 1 species
GAGCUUUUCCGUGCAAAAGGGAACUGCCAAUUAAUUGCAAAUGAUUUAAUUACUAUUUUGCUAUGCACAAUUAACAGCUGCAAAGCAUCCUCAGUUCACCUCUUUUAUCAUGUAAACGAGGUCCUUCUGGAAGUUAAGGCGAGGGCAAGGAGACGCAUUCAGGAUGCAGUCUCCUCUCUUCAUUGUUUGAUCACACCAAGAUAGAUGCUAUGCUUCAAAUAUUUGUAAUUGUGGAUCCAUUUAAAUCAUUAAC